CCUACGUGAGGCAGCAGUGAGGAAUAUUGGUCAAUGGCCGAGAGUCUGAACCAGCCAAGUAGCGUGAAGGAUGACUGCCCUAUGGGUUGUAAACUUCUUUUAUAUGGGAAUAAAAUGUUCCACGUGUGGGAUUUUGUAUGUACCAUAUGAAUAAGGAUCGGCUAACUCCGUGCCAGCAGCCGAGGUAAUACGGAGGAUCCGAGCGUUAUCCGGAUUUAUUGGGUUUAAAGGGAGCGUAGGUGGAUUGUUAAGUCAGUUGUGAAAGUUUGCGGCUCAACCGGAAAAUUGCAGUUGAAACUGGCAGCCUUGAGUACAGGAGAGGUGGGCGGAAUUCGUGGUGUAGCGGUGAAAUGCUUAGAUAUCACGAAGAACUCCGAUUGCGAAGGCAGCUCACUGGACUGCAACUGACACUGAGGCUCGAAAGUGUGGGUAUCAAACAGGAUUAGAUACCCCUGUAGUC
rnacentral:rRNA from 1 species